GAAAUGCGAUAAGUAAUGUGAAUUGCAGAAUUCAGUGAAUCAUCGAAUCUUUGAACGCACAUUGCGCCCGCCAGUAUUCUGGCGGGCAUGCCUGUCCGAGCGUCAUUUCAACCCUCGCGCCCAUCUGGGCUGCGGUGUUGGGGACCGGCCUGCCCCCCGGGGCGCGCCGCCCCCCAAAUUCAGUGGCGGUCUCGCUGCAGCCUCCCUUGCGUAGUAGCACACCUCGCACCGGAGCGCAGCGCGGCCACGCCGUAAAACCCCCGACCCCCAUGAGUUUGACCUCGGAUCAGGUAGGAAUACCCGCUGAACUUAA
rnacentral:misc_RNA from 1 species